GAUAACAUGUUGAUCUUCCCCAAGAGUUCACAUCGAUGGAAAGGUUUGGCACCUCGAUGUCAGCUCUUCGCCACCUAGGGUUGUAGAGUAUAUGUUCCAAGGAUUGGGCUGUUCACCUAUUAAAGCAGCACGUGAGCUCGAUUCAUAACAUUGUGAGACAAUUC
rnacentral:ncRNA from 1 species